GCCGGAGCCUGGGAUCGGGUCGGCUCUUGGGGGGAGGAAAGGGGUGGAUCCUGUGACGUCAGCGAGUCCGAAGCCAGAAAGAAGCUAGGAACCGGGGGGCAACGAGCUGGAAGAGCCAGGCAGCGAGAGCCAAGCCGGGAGAAGAGAGCGCGGCAGGAACCGGCCGGGAGCCAGAGCCACCCAGGCACCUGGUCGUCCUCUCAACCGAUUGGCGCUCGCAGAGUGGCCCUCAGGCCCCCGCCCGGUCCCGGUCCCCCUCCCCGGGCCCCCCAUGGCCCGGGCCGCAGCCCUCCCGCCGUCAAGAUUGUCGCCGCCGACGCUGCCGCUACUGCCGUUGCUGCUACUACUGCUCCGGGAAACCCGAGCCCAAGAUGUGCGAGUUCGGGUGGCAGCUGAGGUGCGGGGCCACCUGGGGGACACCGUAGAGUUGCCGUGCCACCUGCUGCCCCCAGCACCUGAAGUCCGAGUGUCACAGGUGACCUGGCUGCGCCUGGACACGCCCGAGGACAACCAAAACGUGGCCAUCUUCCACCCUCAGUACGGUCCCAGCUUCCCUAGAGCGAAGCCUGGCAAGGAGCGGCUGUCCUUCGUCAAACCCGGGCAGAGCACUGGUUCCGGGCCGGGAACGGAGGUGGAGGUGCGCGAUGCCACGCUGGCCCUCCGGGGGCUGACGGUGGAGGACGAGGGCAAUUACACCUGCGAGUUUGCCACCUUCCCCCAGGGCACCAGUCGGGGGGUGACCUGGCUCAGAGUUAUAGCCGAGCCCCAGAACCACGCCGAGACCCAGGAGGUCACCCUCAGCCUGGAGCCCGUCCCUGUGGCCCGCUGUGUGUCUGCAGGUGGCCGGCCCCCCGCCCGAGUCUCCUGGCUCUCGCCCUUGGAUGGGGAGACCAGAGAGAGCCAGGUGUCAGGGCCCGUGCCUGGCACAGUCACCGUCACCAGCCGCUUCACCUUGGUACCCUUGGGCCGAGCAGAUGGUGUCAAGAUCACCUGCAGAGUGGAGCACGAGAGCUUCAAGGAGCCUGUCCUGCUGCCUGUGACCCUCUCUGUGCGCUACCCCCCUGAGGUCUCCAUAUCUGGCUAUGAUGACAACUGGUACAUCGGCCGUAGCGAGGCCACUCUGAACUGUGACGUUCGCAGCAAACCAGAGCCCACAGGCUACGACUGGAGCACGACCUCGGGCGUCUUCCCGGCGUCAGCAGUCGCCCAGGGCCCUAAGCUGAUCGUCCACUCAGUGGACAAGCUGUUCAACACGACCUUCAUCUGCACGGUCACCAACGCCGUGGGCACCGGCCAUGCUGAGCAAGUGGUCCUCGUUCGAGGUUCCCACUGCAGGGUGCGGGUACCAACUGCUGUGCUUCCUUUGACAUCUUCUCCGCGGCGCGUGCCUACUCUCCAGAACCAGGAAUCCGCAUCCCGCAGCCUCCGAGACGCCCAACACAGCAGGCGCAGGGGCCACAGGUGGCAUCAUUGGGGGCAUCAUUGCUGCCAUCAUUGCUACUGCUGUGGCCGCCACGGGCAUCCUCAUCUGUCGGCAGCAGCGGAAGGAGCAGAGGCUGCAGGGGGCUGAGGAGGAGGAGGACCUGGAGGGGCCUCCCUCAUACAAGCCGCCGACGCCCAAGGCGAAGCUGGAGGAGCCAGAGAUGCCUUCCCAGCUCUUCACGCUGGGGGCCUCGGAGCACAGCCCGCUCAAGACUCCCUACUUUGAUGCUGGCGCCCCAUGCCCUGAACAGGAAAUGCCUCGAUACCAUGAGUUGCCCACCUUGGAAGAGCGGUCAGGGCCCCUGCUGCUUGGGGCCACAAGCGUGGGGUCCCCCAUCCUGGUGCCCCCAGGGCCACCUGCUGCGGAGAGGGUUUCCCUGGAUCUGGAGGACGAGGAGGAGGAGGAAGACUAUCUGGACAAGAUCAACCCCAUCUAUGAUGCCCUGUCCUACUCCAGCCCCUCUGACUCCUACCAGGGCAAAGGGUUUGUCAUGUCUCGGGCCAUGUAUGUGUAAACUGCCAUGGCCCUGGCCUCUCGCCUCUCUUUUUUGAUCCCUCAGCUUUCUGCCAGGGAUGUAGGACUCCUUGACCUCUGGCCAGGCCACUGUCAGUUAACACACAUGCAUCUCAUCUGAAUUCUACUCCGGUGGCUCUGCUAAGACUUCUAAUCCAUGAUCUCUGACCCAGAGAAAUGGGCCAUGACAAUGGAAACACCUUGACUCUUGAGGGGCUGGGGAAGGUAUGUUUCUGCACAACCUCUCACCCAAGGACCCCUAAGACUGUGACCUUAGAUCAUACCUCUCAUGUCUCACCAUCUCCAGAUCCACCCCCCAAAAAAAUCCCAAAGAAGACCCCAGAUCGCUGAUUUGUCCUCAGACGGUGACUCCCAGUAGGUCUGCUGGGGUGGGUGUUGGGGGCAUCCUGCUGCUCAGACCUGAGCCCUCCAGGUGGCAGAGCUCCUCUCACCCAGUCCCCACCCUGCCCCCCAAAAGUGGAAGGGAGGGGAGUCCCCAGCUCAAAGCAGAACUUCCCCAUCUCCUCCCUCCUGCAGGCAGGAGUCUCAGGGUACAGACCCUUCCCUGAGCCCCCACUACCCCAUUUCCUAUCUACAGGGAACUAAGCCCCAACUCAGGGCUACAUGGGGUGAGCCUCAUGCUGAGUGUGCCUUGCUGACCCCAGCCUUGGGAGAAUUUGCUGUUACUUUGAAAACUACUGAGUCCCUUUACUCCUGUCCAGUGGGAUUGGACCAAGCAUCUCCCUGGAUGGGAAAGUGGAUCACCUGGGUUUGGGGAUGUGAUAUUGUUUUGUAAUAGAGCAUUUCCUACAAGAUACAAGUUUGUACUUUGACCAGGUCUCACCUAGUGUUUUUUUUGUGGGCUGUGAAGGGGAUGGAGAUGGAACAGGAUGGGAAAUGAAUAGGGGGCUGAGGACUUGAGGGAAUCAGUAGACCAGAAGUCAAGACAGGUUACAGACAAAAAGAAAAAGGACAAAAGAUAUGACAAAGAUAAUGGAGGGCCUAAAGAGCAAGAAUGCAUAAGCCAAAAACGUAGUGAUGGGUAAUGGAAGGAGAGGGGAAGGAGUCCAGGCAUGGUGGUUAAGGAAAAGGAAUCCUCAACAGUAAUCUAAUGAAUAAUAGACAGAAAUAAAGGGAACAAAGGAGAAAUAGCAGUAAUUAAGUACGAGGGGCUUGGGCGUAAUGAAUAAACGGCAAUAAAAACAGGCCAAAAGCAAAAGUA